AUUAUACAGUUUCAGUUUUCAGUGGAUAAACAAAAAAAGUAAACUCAUAAAGUAUAGCUCUCAACUUGACAAAAAAAGAGAUAUAUCUUCACAGCUAAUAUAGAAGGGGAUCAUUUUAUGGAAAUUUGCAUUUAUAACAUACAAAAAUAUUAUAAUUAGGUAACUAACCAAAAUAAAUAGUCCAAUGAUAUUGUGUGUAUUUCCUAUAUUUUAGACAUAACUGACCCUAAGAUAAAACCAAUCAACUCGCCGGUACCGAUUACAACGUCGUCACCACCACAAAGUCACUACCACCAUCACCGCCAUCAUCAUCACCACCAUCGUAAUCACCACGUCGUCACUACUAAAACCACCAGACCGUUACUAUUUAUCACGGAUAUCACCGACACCACGGCACCACCAUCAUCAUGCCCUUAGUCCCUCACCAUCACCAUCGCAACCACCACGGCACCACCAUCAUCCCCAUGAAAUCACCAUCAUCCCUAUGUCAUCACCAUCACAAAGCUAAGUCACCACCACCAUCACAACGUCAGCACCACCACCAUCACCACCACAAAGUCACCGUCACCACCACAACGUCAUCACCGCCAGUCCGCCACCAUCGUAACCACUACGUCGUCACUACCUAAAACCACCACACGUCCACACCGUUACUCUUUAUCAUGGAUAUCGCCGACACCACGGCACCACCAUCAUCCCCAUGUCAUCACCAUCACAAAGUCACCACCACCAUCACAACAUCAUCACUGCCACCAUCGUAACCACCACGUCAUUACUACUAAAAUGUCGUCAAAUUUUUGACAACAGAGGUUAAAAUCGUCAUUGACAAAGUCCAUAUGUUAUUCUCUUAAUUUCGCAAGUUAUAGUGCUAUAUCCUUAAAUAUUUUAUCAUAAAUGGUUAUUGCCUUAAUUCACCCAUCAUUUUAAUCUAAUAAGAUGAUAAGAAAAGAAAAGAAAAAACACCUAGAACACAC
rnacentral:sRNA from 1 species